UGCCCGUGGACCAUUAAGCACCAUAGAAAAUGAACUACUUUUAUAGUAUUUACACCUAUUUAGGCUUUUGGUACAUUUUCAUGAGUCCGCUGACCGAAAUGAAAAGAAUAUCGCAGGCUCAGAAGUAUCGAAACAAUCGAUAUUUCUUGCCAUUAUUAUUAUUAAACUUUAUUAAAAGUGUCAAUGUGUUUAGCUCUUACAAACUAAUUGGGGACACUUAUCCUAACUAUUUAAACUUACUAUCUAUCUAUGUUUUUAGAUUAUAUACUAUAUAAUAUAUUAAUUUGAGAGUUUAUAAAAAAAUGGAGUCUAAAAUCUAUAAGUUCUAAGAAGAGAAUCUAGGACAUUA